AGAAAAAGAAAGAAAAGAAGGAAAGAAAGAAAGGUAGAAGAAAAAGAAAGAAAAGAAGGAAAGAAAAAGGGGAGAAAGACGAUCUUGAAGCAAUGCGGGUUUAGGUCAUCUACCUCUUCUUGGCUUCUUAUUUUUCAUUUUAUUUUCAUAUUAUUUCCAUUGUGGUUUCCAGUUUGCUUUGAGGAAUAUACUGCAGUUUUGGUAUCUUCAACAAAUAUAAAAGAAAUUUUUUAACCAAGUAGGGUUAUAUCAGUCAGAAGGAGCUCUGUAAACCCAACAAGUGGAGCAUACGGAGAUAGAGAAAUAAAUGGAAGGAAAUUUUUUGGUGGAAAUGUGCCCUUAUCUCUCUCUUACUAAAUUUGAAAGUAGUGGAUUUGGUGUUAACUGACAGUUUUUCAAUCUGAACUCAUCAUAAUACCUCACCUUUUUGUUGCCUCUUGUUUUUUAAUCUUUCAUGUCUUGAUGAGGUGAGGUCUGCAACGAGAGGAAGCAACAAACAAGAAUCAUCAAUGGCUCUAGCCUUCCUGAUGGGCAGAUCUGUGGUGAUGUAUCUGUAUCAGUUAUGUUUGCUGGUGAUUUUCAUGAAGAAAAUGCUUGUGAUCUAAAGCAUUCAGAGAGAUCCUAUGCAACACUCUUUUUAGAAAUUUCCAUGUGAACUUCUACAGCUAGAUGUGAAAUUUUGCUGGUGAUUUUGGCCCAGCCAGGAUCUUAGCCUCAGCAACUGCUGCUCCUGCUCUUUUGAUGCGCUUUGGAGGUUCUCAACCAAUGGCCACAUUCUCACAUUGAUGGGAUGUCUGGGAGCCCUUGAUUUGAUACAUAUCAGGAGCUUGCAUAUUCCAGAAUGCAAGUACCUGUGCUUGUUGUGGACCAAAUUAUGUCUGUGCAUUUUCCAGGACACUGCUGAAAAGGAAAGUGUGCAAAGCGCUUAUAAUCUUAAGUAUGAGCAAAUGAUAUCUUGUAGCCUAUUCCCCUGCCCUCCACCCUCUGUCUAAGAUUUGAUCAGAUCAGGGUUUGCAAUAUCAGUACUGGAUCCUCUAUCGGUGUCAUGUUGGUAUAGUGUUGGUGCUGGUUGGUUCAGCAUACCGACACUUGGUAUGCCCUUAUGUAUUGAGUAUCAGUUUGGUACCAUUAUGGUAUUUUAUGCACCGCUACUACAAACUUUAGAUCAGAUUAUACGUACCCACCAAGCAGUAUGUACAACUUACUAGAAUGUGGUCUGUAUGACCAAGUGUUUGUUUUUUCUUAAAUAUCUGCAACUGAAUUAUUGUAUUCAGGAUAUGACAACAGUGCAGGUGAUGUUUUAAUUGAACUUCAUGGAACAAACUAUAUUUUUAUAGUCAACCAGGCUAUGGUAGAAGAUCAUGAGUAUUCUGAAGGUCUGGAAAGAGAAAUUGUAGCAUGGAUAUGUAUUUUGUAAUUUAAGCUUCUUUGAACUCGGGAAUUAAAGUUCUAUUUUGUGUUACACCUCUUCUUCCCACCCUAGGAAUUAGAUUCUAUUUUAUUUGUGUCUUCACACCUCUUCUUCAGUUCUAUUUUGUGUCACACCUCUUCUUCCCACCCUAGGAAUUAAAUUCUAUUUUAUUUGUGUCUUCGCACCUCUUCUUCCCACCCUACGUUAGCAUACAACUAUCUUAUCUCCAGCCCUGACACUAAAUUAGCUGCAUCAAACAGUAAGGUGAAGAACUUCAGAAAAGUUCUACUGUCCCCUCUUGAUGCAAUAUACUCUCUCUUAUACUUUAAACCUUUGUUAUUAUAUUCUGCAGGCUGGAAAUUAAGCAUGUCAGGGGGAUGUUGCUUUAUGGACCUUCAGAGACUGGCAAGACCCUCAUGGCUCGUCAGAUUGGGAAAUUAUCCAAUGGAAUGGGAUUAGUGGUCUGGUCUCCGAAUUAUGCUUCUGUACAAUAUUGUAAAAAGGAAAGAUGGUGAAGGCAUAUGUUGAUGACAAUGAUGAUGGCUUGGACAGAUAGGGAAUGACUUUGACAGUGGUGUAAUGGAGGACUUUGAUAGAAACAGUGAUGAGGGAAGGGGAUCAGGAAGAUCUGAGGUGGUAGUGGUUCAAAGUUUGUAAAGAAUUGGAAGAUAUACGAGAGGUAAAAAAAUUUUCAGUAGUUUAAAUUUUGGCCAUUCUGGCAUUUUGCUUCCCAACUUGAUAUAGUUAUCUGUUGAUAAAUUUUCUCCAGGAUAGGGAGGUGUAUUGUAAUAGAUUUAUUUUAUGGGAAGCUCUGUAAAUCCAACAGUAGCAGCACCUGGGGAUGGUGGAACUAAUGGAAGGAAACUUUCAGGUGUAUUAGAUAUAAGUGAAAAUGGUAAAGUUUGAUUAAUUCGAAAAGAGCAAGGUACAAAUUAAUUUAUCAACGAUUAAUUCUGAUGGUAAUUAAGAAGGAAACAAAGCUUGUUUGCACUUAAACUUGUGAAGUUUUUAAUUCAAUCAUUAAUUGUGACA